GUAGGUAGCUUAACCUUCGGGAGGGCGCUUACCACUUUGUGAUUCAUGACUGGGGUGAAGUCGUAACAAGGUAACCGUAGGGGAACCUGCGGUUGGAUCACCUCCUUACCUGAAAGA
rnacentral:rRNA from 1 species